CAUAUACUUGUGUGUUCAAGCUACAUUGUCCAAGCUACCUGCAUGGUAAGAUUUAAUUUAUGCCAAAUUUAAAUAUCAUCUCCUUUAAUUUCUUGAACUGUAUAUAUGUACACCUGUGUGCAUAUAUAUAUGUGUGUGUGUGUAAAUAUAUAUCCUAUUGGUUCUGUUUCUCUGGAACAGAUAUAUUCUAGAUAUAUGCAUACAUCUAGAAAGAGACUUAUAUAAGGUAUUGGCUCACAAAAUUAUGGAGGCUGAGAACUCUCACAAUCUGCUAUCUGCAAGCUGGAGACCAAGGAAUGUCUGUGGUAUAGCAGGAAGGCCUGAGAGCCAAGGAGCCAGUGGUGUGGAUUCCAGCCUGACUCUGAAAGCCUGAGAACCAGGAAUACUCAGGACAGAAGACUGCUGUUCCAGCCCAAUCAGUCAGGAGAAGAACCCUGAGCCUAGAAAAUCUGAAGCAUUUCUAAGGAGUAUUAAGCAUAUGCAACAAAUAUGCUUCUAUGCUCCAGGGAAGACAUUAUAGUUACCAUCUAAGCCUCUUUACCUUCAACAUCUGGCCCAAAUUUAUUUUGUACUGGAGAGGAAUACUACCUUCUGCAUGCCUAGAAGCAUGCCUCUUACCAGCAGACAUCUUCCAAGGGAAAUGAUGUGGAGCAAAGGAAUGAGCACACAAACACUCAUGUCUUAAGUCUAAAACAAAAACCCAAAAGUGUUUGCUUUGUAUCGCAUAUUAUUUUUUUAUUUUGUAUUUUCCAUUCUCUUUUCAUUUCACCAUGGAUGUUUUCUACAAGCCUAUACUUAUACUUACUAAUGCUUUCUUCCGUUAAUCUUCCAUUAAAAUCCAUACUGAACUCUUAAUUUUAAAAAUAAUUAAAAUUAUUGUUUAAACAUUUCUAUUUUUAAGAUUUUUAUAUUGUUUCUUUAGAAAAUAAAUUCUAGUUCUCUGGUAAAAUUCUUUAUCCUGUCAAAUAUUUUCUUGAACAUAUUAAGGUUUUUUCAAAGUCUGUGCUUGUUCACUCCAAAAAAAUAGUGUGCCUACAUGUCUGUUUCUUAUAUAUGUAUAUAAAAAUUACCACAAAAAAAGGAAUCUAAUUUAUAGUGACAAUAGAUCAGUGGUUGACUGUGGCUGUGAGCAGGGGAAGGAAUUAACAAUAAAGAGGCAUAGGUAAAUAUUUUGGGGAGAAGAAAAUUUUCUGUACUUUGAUAGUGGUAGUAGUUACAUAAUGUCAAGUUUUUCUUUUGGUCUCAUACUGUUACAUACUCUUUAGUUAUUCAUCUAAUGUUAGAUAUUUUGUAUGAAAUAAAACUAAGCUACUCCUUCAUACAUUACAAAAUAUUGAAAGCUUAACAUGUGCCAGUCCUUUUACUGGGGAUCUAGCACUAAAACAGGACAGACACAGCUUCCAUACUGACAGAGCUUCCAGUUCCUUGGUGGACCUUUCUAAUUCCUGAAGUUCUUUGGGCUUUCAAAGUUGUUCACACUCUUUUAUUUACCCAGAAUGCCAUGGUCCCUGUGUUUGUAUGCUCAAAUCAUAUACAUAUUUUUAAAUGUUACAAUUUUUAAAUACAAUUUUAAAUGUUACAGCCUCAAUAAAUCUGUCUAUAUUAAAAGUAAUCUUAUGUUAGUCUGAGCUUUCAUGUUAAAUGAUCUGUUCCUCUAAUGGUAUUUAUAUAAUCUGCCUGCCUGGUAAUAUUAAUGAAGUAUCCCAUAUAACCAGAUUUCAAACUCUUUAAGUACAAGGACCUUGUCUUACUAACUCUUGUAUGUACUAUGGUAUGUAAAAAAGUGCCUGAUCGUAGUAAACAUAUGUAUUAAGUGAAUAUUUGACUGUGUCAUUAUAAUGUUUAUAAAAUUAUAGUCCAUGUUUUAAUAUUUUCUACCUAAUAAUUCACCACUCUACUUACUCCUAAUUAUUGAGCUCGAAUCACUUAUAACCCUACCAUAACUAAUUCUAGCUUGCAGCUUCCAUGAUAC
rnacentral:lncRNA from 1 species